CCUUUCACCCCACCUUUCUUUUCUGUUUCUCUGUAAGCAAAUGAAGAAGCACCACCGCCACCUCCUCUCCAUGGCGCCGCUGCUCCAGGGCUCCCCUCGUCACUCCGAGACCACCCACAGAACCGCCUCGGCGUCCUCUAUAUCCUCCCCAAAGGAAUCGAGCCGGGGUGCUCUUAAUCGUCUCCAAAAUCGCUGUUUCUUCUUCUACUCCGGUGACAAAAUUCUUCAAAUUCCGGCCACCUCGAACCUUCCCCGGCCGUCGCACCACCCGUCGUUGGUCCGCUGCUCCAAGGCGCAUCUCCGACACCAUCCAUCUCGCCUCAGUUCAUCCUCGAACUUCAGAUCCGGGCUCACCUGCAAGUCCCGCCAUGGCCCCAAGCUCCGCUCCUAUCUGCUUCAAGUAGUGCGCGGCCCAUGUUCUUCAACAUCAAAACCAGCAGCCCAGUGAUCCAGCGUUGCAGGCGGGCCUUGGCCCAGGACCUUUAGCGCAGCCCAUCGCCGCUGAGCAGAAGAUAGCUUCCCGACGCCCUCCGCAUUUGCUUCUUCGCGGAUAGGAUCACGAAGUGGUGCGG